CUAAUAGGCUGUCCUCCAUCACCUCUGGAGCUGCCUGGCAGCCCUGUCAUCCCUUGUCUCAGGUCACACACUCUGUCCUCCAUGUCCUCCACGGUGGUCAUCUGGAACCAAGCCAGGGGAGUCCCAUUCCUCUUAAAAUUCUGAACGGAAUCUUGAACAGUACCAGGACGAAAGGAAGCCCAGGACUCAAUGAGCAAAGAGGAAAAAAUGAAAAGUGAGAAAUGGUGAGGACAUACAAAGCAAGGGAGAGUGAAGACCAAUGGAUAUGGGAAAAUUCAAAUUACAGGUGACAUUCCAUUUAAAAAUUGUGUGUCACACAGCAAGUCUUUAGUUUGACUCUUUCUUUAUAGCUUUUCACCCCCAUUUUUUUCAACUACAAAACUGUGCUCUUGGCCUGGAAGAGUAGUCAGCACAGGCUGCAGGGUCCCUGAUGGAGGCAAGAAAAAGGAGACCUGGCUUAGAUCGCUGCAGCUGACCCAAAGUGGCCUCAAAGAGUCAUCUCCUGGGCGCUCCCGACCGGCAACCGACUGACGUAGCGAUCAGCUUGGGGGAGGUCGGGGCCAAGGGGCCCGCGCUGACCGUGAACUGAAUGAAUAUUCGGCGGGCAGGUUGGGGAUCCGAGACCACGGAAGACCCAGGACCUUCCUCUGCUACACCCAAAGCCAUUGAGAACGGGGCGAGACCCUGUGACCCCCGAAGGUAGGAGGCCUUGGAGCGAGAUCUGCACCCCAGACCAGAAGAGCCUGGCUGCGUAGAGUCUCAGGGACACCUCUUUGGAGGCGUGCGCGGCCCUCAUUUCAGCAGGUAGUGAAAUUCAACAGUGGCCGGAUUGUGAUGACGGAUGCAAGUCGGGACUGCCAGAUAGGGGAUCCUAUUCGCUCAUUAGUUCAUUCUUUUGAUCUUUCGUUCACUUGCUCAUUUCUUGAGCUUCUACCACGUGCUGGGUGCACUUGUCACGCGGAUUCUGAGAAACAAAAAUAAACAGCCCC
rnacentral:lncRNA from 1 species